UUACCAGUUCCCACAACACAGCUGGCCAAGAUUUCCAAACUGCUUUUAACACUGGAAAAAGGACAUCUUUCCCAGAUCCAGGGGAAAUCACUGGAUGAGAUCGAAAUUGAAGAUGAAAUUGCAUUAAGUGAUGCUGAAACAAAGGACAGUGAGAGUGAAUCAGAUGAUGAUGACACAGCACUCACAAUGUCGGCGUGUGGCACCAGUGAGCCUGUACAUGCAGUAGCUGAUUCCACAAACACAGCGCAGCUCCAAGACACUGUAGAUUGUGCAGAUGAAGAACCACUCAUAAUGCCUGCAGCAAGUGAGACUGCUGCUCCCUCUGAAGAUAAAAAUGCUGCUCAAUCCCACAAUUCCCGAAGAGCUCCCAAAAACAUGUGGUCCAAGGCUGAGGUUGCUGCAGUGAUGAGGCAUUUUAAAGACCACAUAAACGAAGGGAAACUGGCCACCAAAAAUGAAUGCAGUCAUUGCAAAUUGGUAGAAGAUCCGAUGUUGGC